rnacentral:misc_RNA from 1 species
AAAGUCGUAACAAGGUUUCCGUAGGUGAACCUGCGGAAGGAUCAUUAAUGAGGUCGGGGAGGCCAGCCCCCGUGGCGGCGGGUGUCGUUUCGAGUCCAUUCGGGCUCGAGCCGGCAGUCGUCCGUUAUUCUCAACCCCAUGUUUACUAUACCUUUGUUGCUUUGGCGGGCCUUGAGUAGGCCAUACGGCUCAUGCCGUCCCCAGGCGUCAUUGCCUGGGGGCGGCUCGCGCCCGCCAGAGGUUUUAUUCAAAUCCUAAUUAUCAGUGAUGUCUGAGCGAAUAUUAAAUAAUCAAAACUUUCAACAACGGAUCUCUUGGUUCUG